GUUUAGAGUCAUCCACACCAAAUUACGAAAUGGAACUCUGAAUUUUGUACCAUCUAAGACCAAAAUUAUCAAGAAUUAUGAUACACAACUCAUUAAAUGGCAAAAACAAUCGCUUAAAGGGUCACAACCACGGGAGUAGUAGCUAUGGAUGGUUUGCAACUAGUUUGUCUGAGACAACUUACUUCGCUUUAAGACUUGGGCUUAGCUAUGGUUGAUGGGCUCCAAGAAGUGGUGUUCCGAAAACUCAUAAAAGCCAAAA
rnacentral:lncRNA from 1 species